UAAAAGACAUAAUAGUAGACGACGCCGCAAGCAAAAGCGUACGACUACUUCUACAACUGAAGCAAUCGAGGAAUAUGAAGAUACAAAAAAA